UACGUAGGUGGCAAGCGUUGUCCGGAUUUACUGGGCGUAAAGGGCGUGCAGGCGGUUGGUUAAGUCCAGGGUGAAAGCUCCCGGCUCAACUGGGAGAGGUCCUUGGAUACUGGCCGACUUGAGGGAGGCAGAGGAGAGUGGAAUUCCCGGUGUAGUGGUGAUAUGCGUAGAUAUCGGGAGGAACACCAGUGGCGAAGGCGGCUCUCUGGGCCUUACCUGACGCUGAGACGCGAAAGCGUGGGGAGCGAACCGG
rnacentral:rRNA from 1 species